UAUUUGUUUUUUUGUUUUAAAAGCCCCGUUGGUCGUUAUAGAUAGAAUGAUUUAAUUUCACCCCCGGUUUACCAUGUGCGCGCCGUAUCACACGGAAACAAAGUUUAUCAACUGAAAAAUGAAAACCGAAGCGAAGAAGGUUUUCUCUUUUUCAAAGUAAUCCUGAAAAAAGUUAUUUCAAACAAUGUUUACUCAUCAUGAGGUUAGAUUAAAGCUUAUUUGUUUCUUCUAUCAUUUUUGUGUUCUGGGACCGAGGUUGGUUUCUUUUUUAAAAAAACUAUCGAAUUCGAAUGAUAAUUCAAAUCUAAAAUGUAAAUAACAAAACUGUUGUUGUAGAGCUUGUACUUUUAAUUUCUUUUUGUACAAUAAAGGCAACUUAAUAUAUCCUAGGCUGUAAUUAGUAAUUAAUGCUUGGUUAAAGUGAGAAAUUUUUGAUUUUGGAAAUACCUUACUGGAUUUGGAUUUGGACUUGAACUUUGUUUUUGGAGUUGUAAAGAAAUGUUUAGAUUGUAAUAUUUGUGAAGAUCUAGAGAGUUAUAAUCCAUUGUCAAAAUACUUGUCAAAACUCUACAAUGUUAUCUAUUCCUAAAGUGAAACUUAAGCUCGCAAAAUAAUCUGGCUUUUUCUCUAUAAUGGGUGUAAAAAUUUUCAAUACACUGCCCAUAGAGAUACGGUGAGCAGAUUCAGUCGCAGAUUUUAGGAAUAGAGUCAGUAGUCAUUUUAAUUGCAAAAAAAUUUUAUUAUUUUGAUAUUUUUAUAAUUUUGUUUUUCGGUGAUAAUUAAACUAAUCUGUAUGUAUGUUUGUCCCUUGAUUCGUCUUAAACACUCCUAUCUUUGAGUCUUUCAAGAGUGGUAUUAGAAAGAAUACCUGUCUCUCUUCCCUGCUUUUGCUAUUGCCCUAUAAUUUUUUUGUACGCUUCCCUUAUUGAAAAAUAUGAAAAAGGGAAAAAUGAUGAGUUUAGUUUACUAGACUAAAGUGGUAUUCGAUUUUUUGUUUUUCUGUGUUAUUUCUUUCAGUCACAAUGUAUAUUUUACAUGAUUUUUUGUUAUAUUUUGUUAUAUAUGUCUUUAUCGGUUUCUUUAUCAGGACACGCAAUUAUAGCAGUAAUUUAUUACUAAAGUGUAAAUCUUUAUGAUGAAUAAAUAAAUUACUCUGUGAA